rnacentral:rRNA from 1 species
UACGUAGGGGGCUAGCGUUGUCCGGAAUCAUUGGGCGUAAAGCGCGUGUAGGCGGUUCGGUAAGUCCGCUGUGAAAGUCGGGGGGCUCAACCCUCGAAUGCCGGUGGAUACUGUCGGACUAGAGUACGGAAGAGGCGAGUGGAAUUCCUGGUGUAGCGGUGAAAUGCGCGAUAUCAGGAGGAACACCGAUGGCGAAGGCAGCUCGCUGG